rnacentral:rRNA from 1 species
UACGUAUGUCGCAAGCGUUAUCCGGAUUUAUUGGGCGUAAAGCGCGUCCAGGCGGUUUAGUAAGUCUGACUUAAAAAUUCGGGGCUUAACCCCGUAUUGGGAUGGAAACUGCUGAUCUAGAGUAUCGGAGAGGAAAGCGGAAUUACUAGUGUAGAGGUGAAAUGCGUAGAUAUUAGGAGGAAUACCAGUGGGGAAGCCGGCUUACUGGACAGAAACUGACGCUAAAGCGCGAAAGCCUGGGGGGCGAACGGG